UAGAGAGAGACAUGCGCGCAUAUCAAUAAGCGGAGGAAAAGAAACUAACUAGGAUUCCCUCAGUAACGGCGAGUGAAGCGGGAAGAGCUCAAAUUUGAAAUCUUCAAGGUUCUACCUUGACGAAUUGUAGUUUAAAGAAGUGUUUUCUGUUGAGUUUUGGUAAAAGUUCUUUGGAAUAGGACAUCAUAGAGGGUGAGAAUCCCGUAUUUGACCAUUAUUUCCAGCUUUGUGAUACACUUUCAAAGAGUCGGAUUGUUUGGGAAUGCAGUCCAAAAUGGGUGGUAAAUUUCAUCUAAAGCUAAAUAUUGGCGAGAGACCGAUAGCGAACAAGUACCGUGAGGGAAAGAUGAAAAGAACUUUGAAAAGAGAGUUAAACAGUACGUGAAAUUGUCAAAAGGGAAGCGUUUGACACCAGUGUUGUUUUCUCGAAAAUCAAUUAAAAAAGGCAGGAUUUUGUGUUGUAUUGACUUUAUCAGCUUUCUGCACUCUUUUCUUGUCUUUUUUAAUGCACUUUUCGUUUAACAAGUCAACAUCAAUUUCUUUUGUUGUAAAAGGGUCAUUGGAAGGUGGCUUUCUUUUCGGAGAAAGUGUUUAUAGCCUUUGGCCUCUGCAAUCGGAGAGAUUGAGGUCUGCAGCGUAGAUCCUUCGGGGUUAGAUACAUUUGUGCUAAGUUAUAGCCUUUCAUAGACGACUUGUUGACUAUGAUCAGUCAUGUAGCUUACUCGCUUAUGCUAUUUUACCUACGCUUAGGAUGUUGAUGUGAUACUGCGAGCA
rnacentral:rRNA from 1 species